GAGUUGAAGAUCCAUGUCAUCCUUAUGGACAUAUAAAUACUGCUUGUUCUUCUCUCCCAGAGGUGUAUUUGUGCACUCACAGAGAGGCAUGUCAUGGCCUACAGUGAAGUGUCGUGGAGCUCUGGUUAAGAGAUUGGUGAGAACACCUCGUGUAGAGUCCUGCACCACUGAGUUAAAGCCCAGCUUCAUCAUCACACCUGUGCAAUUGAGUUACUUAAUUUUAUUUGUGACUUAGUUUACCUCUUUCUAAGAUGAAUACAGUAAUACCACAUCGUAUUCGGUGGUUAGUACAGUAUAUAGCCUGGAGCAAAUACUAAGUAAAUAUUAUCUUUGUCAUUAGUGUUAUUAGAUAUAUUUCAAAAUCCAUUCCCAUAAUACGUACAGCUUUCUAGCUGACCCUAGCUUAUUUUAUUAACUCAUUACCAGUCGUCACUCAUCAUGGUUUGAGCUGGUCUGGGAAACUAUAGACAAUUUCCCCUAUCAUGGUUUUUCAUUAUGUACUUGCAUUUACA
rnacentral:lncRNA from 1 species